rnacentral:rRNA from 1 species
UACGUAGGGGGCAAGCGUUGUCCGGAUUUAUUGGGCGUAAAGAGCGUGUAGGCGGCCGGACAGGUCCGCUGUGAAAACUCGAGGCUCAACCUCGAGAUGUCGGUGGAAACCGUCUGGCUAGAGUCCGGAAGAGGAGAGUGGAAUUCCUGGUGUAGCGGUGAAAUGCGCAGAUAUCAGGAGGAACACCAAUGGCGAAGGCAGCUCGCUGGGACGUGACUGACGCUGGAGACGCGAAAGCGUGGGGAGCAAACAGG